UCCAGCUGCAGUCUCUCCUGCAGUGAGAACAGAAUACGUCACUUAUGGGCAAAUCAUCAUCAAAGACAAGAAAAAAAAGUCAGAGAGUGAUUCAGCUGCAGUGUACUCAGGAGUGAGAACAGAAGACAUCAAUUACGGACAAAUAGCCUUCAGACCAAAGAGGAAAAAAGACUGUAAACCAGAGCCAGACGUCGUCUACUCUUCACUGAAGUAGUCCACCAGUCCAACCAUUGAUGUCCAGCUGCUGGUCUCUAACUGGUCCCCCAGCACCUCCACAGACACAUCCAUAUGUUGAAAAGAUUUCUUUUUGAUGUUUUGUGUCUUUUAUUUCACUUAUUACAUCCUCCUCCACUUACAAAUUCAGGGUU